CAACGUGGGGAACCUGCCCCAUAGUCUGGGAUACCACUUGGAAACAGGUGCUAAUACCGGAUAAGAAAGCGGAUCGCAUGAUCAGCUUUUAAAAGGCGGCGUAAGCUGUCGCUAUGGGAUGGCCCCGCGGUGCAUUAGCUAGUUGGUAAGGUAAAGGCUUACCAAGGCGAUGAUGCAUAGCCGAGUUGAGAGACUGAUCGGCCACAUUGGGACUGAGACACGGCCCAAACUCCUACGGGAGGCAGCAGUG
rnacentral:rRNA from 1 species